GCACUGCUGAGGAUCCCCAGAAUAGGGCGAAACGGCCGUCCAGUGC
rnacentral:hammerhead_ribozyme from 1 species